rnacentral:rRNA from 1 species
GAUUGCCCUAGUAACGGCGAGUGAAGCGGCAAUAGCUCAAAUUUGAAAUCUGGCCCUAGCGGUCCGAGUUGUAAUUUGCAGAGGAUGCUAUGGGCGCGGCGCCUUCCGAGUUCCCUGGAACGGGACGCCAUAGAGGGUGAGAGCCCCGUACGGUUGGAUGCUUAGCCUAUGUAUAGCUCCUUCGACGAGUCGAGUAGUUUGGGAAUGCUGCUCUAAAUGGGAGGUAAAUUUCUUCUAAAGCUAAAUACUGGCCAGAGACCGAUAGCGCACAAGUAGAGUGAUCGAAAGAUGAAAAGCACUUUGAAAAGAGGGUUAAAUAGCACGUGAAAUUGUUGAAAGGGAAGCGUUUGCGACCAGACCUUCUCCUGGCGGAUCAUCUAGCGUUCUCGCUGGUGCACUCCGCCUGGUUUAGGCCAGCAUCGGUUUUCUUAGGGGGAUAAAGGCCUGGGGAACGUAGCUCUUUAGGGAGUGUUAUAGCCCCGGGCGUAAUACCCUUCGGGGGACCGAGGACCGCGCUCUGCAAGGAUGCUGGCGUAAUGGUCGUCAACGACCCGUCUUGAAACACGGACCAAGGAGUCGAACAGCUGUGCGAGUGUUAGGGUGUUAAACCCCUACGCGUAAUGAAAGUGAACGGAGGUGAGAGCCUUAACGGGUGCAUCAUCGACCGAUCCUGAAGUUUUCGGAUGGAUUUGAGUAAGAGCAUAGCUGUUCGGACCCGAAAGAUGGUGAACUAUGCGUGGAUAGGGUGAAGCCAGAGGAAACUCUGGUGGAAGCUCGCAGCGGUUCUGACGUGCAAAUCGAUCGUCAAAUCUGCGCAUGGGGGCGAA